rnacentral:lncRNA from 1 species
CCAGUUUCUUCUCGACUAACACCGACAAAUAAUGAAAAUCGUGUGAAACGAAAGGGUGAAACAACAACUCAACAUGUUGGAUCACCAAAGACACCUUCGGAAGGUCAUUCUCCAAACGCAGCCAAUGAAAAUGGAUCGUCGUUCCUACCACAUUCUCCAUCAUCGUCACCUGGUCAAGAAGAAAGUGUGGAGAGUCCUUUAGGUUCCGCUAGGGAAACACCUACAAACGAAGCAAGUUUCAUUGGAAGAUCACCAAAUAAUGAAGAUCAUUUGAAAACAUCAAGUGGGGCUCCUUCUUCAACACCUACAAUUGGAAAAUCAAUUCCAUCGUUGGAACCACAACAAGAAGACAUGGCAUCUCCACAAACAGGAUCUCCUCGACUAACACCGACAGAUAAUAAAAAUCAUGUGAAACGAAAGGGUCAAACAACAACGCAACAUGUUAGAUCACCAAAUUCACCUUUGGAAGGUCAUUCUCCAAACGCACCCAAUGAAAAUGGUUCGUCGUUCCUACCACAUUCUCCAUCAUCGUCACCUGGUCAAGAAGAAAGUGUGGAGAGUCCUUCAGGUUCCGCUAGGGAAACACCUACAAACGAAGCAAGUUUCAUUGGAAGAUCACCAAAUAAUGAAGUACAUUUGAAAACAUCAAGUGGGGUUCCUUCGUCAACACCUACAAUUGGAAAAUCAAUUCCAUCGUUGGAACCACAACAAGAAGACAUGGCAUCUCCUCAACCAGUUUCUUCUCGACUAACACCGACAAAUAAUGAAAAUCGUGUGAAACGAAAGGGUGAAACGACAACGCAACAUGUUGGAUCACCAAAUUCACCUUUGGAAGGUCAUUCUCCAAACGCACCCAAUGAAAAUGGUUCGUCGUUCCAACCACAUUCUCCAUCAUCGUCACCUGGUCAAGAAGAAAGUGUGGAGAGUCCUUCAGGUUCCGCUAGGGAAACACCUACAAACGAAGCAAGUUUCAUUGGAAGAUCACCAAAUAAUAAUGAAGAUCAUUUGAAAACAUCAAGUGGGGCUCCUUCGUCAACACCUACAAUUGGUAAAUCAAUUCCAUCGUUGGAACCACAACAAGAAGACAUGGCAUCUCCACAAACAGGAUCUCCUCGACGAACACCGACAGAUAAUAAAAAUCAUGUGAAACGAAAGGGUCAAACAACAACGCAACAUGUUAGAUCACCAAAUUCACCUUUGGAAGGUCAUUCUCCAAACGCACCCAAUGAAAAUGGUUCGUCGUUCCUACCACAUUCUCCAUCAUCGUCACCUGGUCAAGAAGAAAGUGUGGAGAGUCCUUCAGGUUCCGCUAGGGAAACACCUACAAACGAAGCAAGUUUCAUUGGAAGAUCACCAAAUAAUGAAGAUCAUUUGAAAACAUCAAGUGGGGCUCCUUCGUCAACACCUACAAUUGGAAAAUCAAUUCCAUCGUUGGAACCACAACAAGAAGACAUGGCAUCUCCUCAACCAGUUUCUUCUCGACUAACCCCGACAAAUAAUGAAAAUCGUGUGAAACGAAAGGGUGAAACAACAACUCAACAUGUUGGAUCACCAAAGACACCUUUGGAAGGUCAUUCUCCAAACGCACCCAAUGAAAAUGGAUCGUCGUUCCUACCACAUUCUCCAUCAUCGUCACCUGGUCAAGAAGAAAGUGUGGAGAGUCCUUCAGGUUCCGCUAGGGAAACACCUACAAACGAAGCAAGUUUCAUUGGAAGAUCACCAAAUAAUAAUGAAGAUCAUUUGAAAAUAUCAAGUGAGGCUCCUUCGUCAACACCUACAAUUGGUAAAUCAAUUCCAUCGUUGGAACCACAACAAGAAGACAUGGCAUCUCCACAAACAGGAUCUCCUCGACUAACACCGACAGAUAAUGAAAAUCAUGUGAAACGAAAGGGUCAAACAACAACGCAACAUGUUGGAUCACCAAAGACACCUUUGGAAGGUCAUUCUCCAAACGCACCCAAUGAAAAUGGAUUGUCGUUCCUACCACAUUCUCCAUCAUCGUCACCUGGUCAAGAAGAAAGUGUGGAGAGUCCUUCAGGUUCCGCUAGGGAAACACCAACAAACGAAGCAAGUUUCAUUGGAAGAUCACCAAAUAAUGAAGAUCAUUUGAAAACAUCAAGUGGGGCUCCUUCGUCAACACCUACAAUUGGAAAAUCAAUUCCAUCGUUGGAACCACAACAAGAAGACAUGGCAUCUCCUCAACCAGUUUCUUCUCGACUAACACCGACAAAUAAUGAAAAUCGUGUGAAACGAAAGGGUGAAACAACAACUCAACAUGUUGGAUCACCAAAUUCACCUUUGGAAGGUCAUUCUCCAAACGCACCCAAUGAAAAUGGUUCGUCGUUCCAACCACAUUCUCCAUCAUCGUCACCUGGUCAAGAAGAAAGUGUGGAGAGUCCUUUAGGUUCCGCUAGGGAAACACCUACAAACGAAGCAAGUUUCAUUGGAAGAUCACCAAAUAAUGAAGAUCAUUUGAAAACAUCAAGUGGGGCUCCUUCGUCAACAC